AUUGACCCUUUCACUUUCUAGCACCAUAGAAAGAAGACUCUUCUUUUCCCAGAGACCGUGUCUCAAAUGUGAUGGAGAAGGCCUGAUUAGCCCACUUAGAGUUCCUGUUUCUUAGCAAUGUAUUUAUCUGUUUCCCUCUUGGUCCCUGUUCUUGGAACAGGCUGGGAUAAUGAGAUGGGGUUUAUCCUCAUGGAAGUUGCUUUAAAAUGGUGAAAUCACAGUCUUCCACUCAUGUGCCUCUCCCUUGCCCAAUUUCAAUGCCCACAUGGAUGGGUUGCUCUGAACAACCAAGUACAACCAUUGUGCCGUAAUUGUGUGUUUAUGUGUCUCACCGAGACUCUGUGUUAGACUCAGAGCUACAGCAUGGCAAAGAAGAUCACAAUUUGUCCCUCCCACAAAGUCAGGAGGCCACGGUACAGUCUGGAGUUCAUUUGUUUGAAAAGGGAAGGAAAGAGACUCCCUAAGCGCUGCAGCCCCAUGGCCGUGUGCCGUGUGCUGUAACCACCAGUGCCAGUGGGGUCACCACCCCAUCCAUCAUACUGAGAAAGGAUCCUGGCACAACCACUGGCCCCGCUGAGCUUGAAACCUCCCCUGCCGAAGCCUGAGGCUCAGUGUAGCUGUCGCCUGGGAGGUCUGCAGAGAUGUGGCCCUGGCCAAACCACCUGCUCUGGCUUUUCAUUGCCUGCUCCCCUACCCCAACUGUCAAAUUUUCCCAGAGCACCGAGGUUUCUGAAUAUGGGUUAAGAGCAUUCACCGUGACUCUCAAAGAUGCAUCCAGAUGUAACCAGAGGUAGAGAGGUGAAGUGACAGUGCUGACAUCCUCUGACACAGACCCUAGGCCUUUUCAUUAUAUCUUGUGCUGUGCGUCUCCUAUUUUCCUUGAUGUCCUAUCUCUUUAACUUGAGGAUAUACUUUUUAAGGUAAGAGACGUAGUGAAAUAAAAUUCAUAUUUUAAGGCA
rnacentral:lncRNA from 1 species